ACCAGCCAUGCCGCGUUGUGUGAAGAAGGCCUUAUGGUUGUAAAGCACUUUAAGCGAGGAGGAGGCUACUGAGACUAAUACUCUUGGAUAGUGGACGUUACUCGCAGAAUAAGCACCGGCUAACUCUGUGCCAGCAGCCGCGGUAAUACAGAGGGUGCGAGCGUUAAUCGGAUUUACUGGGCGUAAAGCGUGCGUAGGCGGCUUUUUAAGUCGGAUGUGAAAUCCCCGAGCUUAACUUGGGAAUUGCAUUCGAUACUGGGAAGCUAGAGUAUGGGAGAGGAUGGUAGAAUUCCAGGUGUAGCGGUGAAAUGC
rnacentral:rRNA from 1 species